rnacentral:rRNA from 1 species
CGUGGUAACUUCCCAAGAGAUCGGGAUAACACCUGGAAACAGAUGCUAAUACCGGAUAACAACAGAUGAUGCCUAUCAACUGUUUAAAAGAUGGUUCUGCUAUCACUCUUGGAUGGACCUGCGGUGCAUUAGCUAGUUGGUAGGGUAACGGCCUACCAAGGCGAUGAUGCAUAGCCGAGUUGAGAGACUGAUCGGCCACAUUGGGACUGAGACACGGCCCAAACUCCUACGGGAGGCAGCAGGC